AUAAGGACUAGCUCAAUCUGAGCUAACACACUUGAGAAUGUCCCCGAUCAACUCUUGAAGACAAAUUCCCUUGGAGUUGGGCGUCGAGGCAACCUCAUGCUGGACGUUGUUUUUGCCCAACUGACAGUUCAUGAGAAAUAUAACUGAAUAUUUCACUUUUACUCCACCUACUGUCACUUUAAAGGGUGGCGCUAGCGGCGUUGAAGAAGUCAGCAAACUUCAGUGUUGCAGUUUAUUUAUCCACGAUGUCUACGUUUGAGUGUUAUGACUACAUCGUAAUCGGUGCUGGAAUCCAAGGAUCUUUUACAUCUUACCAGCUGGUGAAAAGGAAAAGGAAAACUCUUCUCCUUGAGCAGUUUACUCUACCUCACACUCGAGGGAGCUCCCAUGGCCAAACCCGUAUAAUCCGUAAGGCUUACGAGGAGGACUUCUACACACAAAUGAUGGGUGAAAGCUAUGAACUGUGGGCUGAGAUGGAGAGGGAGGCUGGUGUCAAACUGUACAGACGAACAGGACUUCUGGUGAUGGGACCAGAGAACAGUCGGCGCUACCGUGACUUUAAGAGCACCCUGGAGAAGAACAAGAUUUCUAUGGUGGUGCUUACCUCUGACAAUUUCAAUCAGCACAUUCCUAAUGUCAUCUUGGCUGAUGGGGAUGGUGCUUUAGUGGACACCACUGCUGGAGUGUUAUAUGCAGAUCGAGCACUGAAGGUUGCACAGGAGCAGUUUCAGAAGUUGGGUGGUGUAAUUAAAGACCAAGAAAAGGUAACAGACAUCAAGCCUGGCCUGACUGUGACAGUGUCGACAUCUGAGGGUGUUUAUCAAGCCAAGGGACUGGUGAUUACCGCUGGACCUUGGACUAGUAAAUUGCUGGCCAAUAUUGACCUACAUCUUCCUUUAGAGGUGGUGAGAAUCAAUGUGUGCUACUGGAAAGAGAAGAUUCCUGAGUCAUACCAUGUGAAGAAACGGUUUCCCUGCUUCAUACUGACUGAAGGAGAGGAGGCUAAAGAGGAUAUUUACGGCCUGCCUUCCAAUGAAUACCCUGACCUGAUGAAGAUUUGUUAUCAUGAUGGCAGUGAGACUGACCCGGACCAAAGGGACAAGAAGACAGAGGGAGCUGAUAUUGACAUCCUCCGGUGCUACAUUGCUCGCAGUUUUCCAGGCCUGAUCCCUGAGCCCGCUGUGAUUGAGAGCUGCUUGUACACGAAAACACCUGACCGUCAUUUUGUGUUGGACCGCCAUCCAGCAUAUGGCAAUAUUGUAAUCGGUGCAGGAUUCUCAGGUCAUGGCUUCAAAUUUGGGCCUGUCAUUGGCAAGCUGCUGUGCGAGCUAAUCCUGGGAGAAGUGCCCUCCUAUGAUCUUGCACCUUUCCAAAUCAGCCGCUUUCAGACCAACAUCAAAUCAUCAUUAUAGAAAUGUCAACAGAUUAUCAGUAUCUUGUAAUUUGAAGAUUUAUAUGUGAUAUUGAUAAUAUUGACACUUUUUAUUGAAGAGUGUCAAAUUGACGAACAAAAGCAUAAAACAAGAGCUUUGGCCUAAAUAGUAGUUUUAAUAAUUUAUUUUGCCUUAUUAUUAGGGAUGGGAAAAGCCGAAAGAAGCCACCAUAAGGUAUAAUCAAUAUAUAGAUUUUGACCUAAAAUCAAUAUAGCCUUUAUAGCUACAAAUCCUCAAAAGAUGUAGAUAAUGUAAAACUAUAUGUAAAAGCACACAUGUAAUUCAACAAUUAUUUAUAUAGCACUUUCAAGUACAGGCAUUAUUAAAUGUAUUGCUAAAUAGGAUGGGCUGUUAGAAGCAAAACAGUCAGCAAGAUCCAGACUGGUUCCGGAGCCCAAUUUGUGUUUCUAUACGUAGUUGGCAUAAUCCUGACCUUGUUUGUCACAUUUCCUGGAGCCAGAUUCUGCAGAGGAAGACCAGAGGGCCAGUGUACUCUCUUCGGCCACCCCUCUGGGUGCUGAGCCCAUGGCAAAGAGGACCCACGUCUCCAUCUCGGGUCAAGCUUCGCCUUGUACAACACAUCAUUUUCGAAACAAAACUAUUGAAGUACUUAUAUGCACAUUUUUCACAGGUAGAAUUGGAUCUAAGUAGAUUCCUUCUUAAAAAUAACAAAAGAGGUCCAACUUGGUGUCGUGGAGCCACGCCAGCAUCUCUGGUCCCAGGUCAAAGAGGCCGGCCUCCGAGGGUGGUCUAUAUAGGGGGCAGGUGUUGAUGAUGUGGUCGGCUCUCUGCUCGGGGUCAUCGCACUCGCAUGCCACACUGUCCGCCAGUCCUCACUGCUGCAUAGAUGUGUUGAAGCGCCCAACACCAAUUCUUAAAUGGUUCAGUGCGGUCCACUGCUGGCGAGGCACCGUAAUUUUCCAUGUAAAAUACGCCCCCCUGCAUAAUACGCACCCUAAAAAUGGCAUGUCCAUGCUGGAAAAAAGCCUGUACCCAUGUAUAAUACGCACCCAAAUUUUGACUCUUACUUAAGACCGUAAACGUAAUAUUAUUUCAGAAAAAAGAUCAUCUUCGGGAACAACCGGAUGUUAUUCUGCCGGUCAGUAUCACUGCGCAUGCGCUCGCAAACUCGAUAGCGAAGAAAUGUUUCGGAUUUGUGUAGGGUACAUUGUGACAGCAAACGAGCAGGUGAUUGAGCAAGCGUCUGAUACGAGAGCAUUGUGUUCGUAUGGAGCGUGUUUGAAGUGAACAGCAGAGAAGAAAGCAACAAGGCAAAGUGUUGUGAAAUAAAAUAUUACCUGUAAUACGCAUUUUAUUUGCUGAUUGAAACUGCUAUUUAACUGUGAAUUGAAACUAAUAGGUGUAGAACUGAACUCUCGCUCUUUAUAUAGCUGACGUGUCUUGCACAUCCGUUCUGCGCAUACUGUCAUGGCGGCCUCCGUAUGAUAUCCAGUCUGCGAUGGAGAUUAAACAACAAACAAUAUCUGACAAUAACACACUAUCAAGGAUUGCACCAUCGCAUCAAAUGAUGCGUCGUCAAUUAUGAAUUUUACUGACUGUGUUGGGCAGGAUGGCUGAAUGCGAUGCGCGAUUGACAACAAACAAGAAGAAAGGUGGGAUUUCAAGUUUUAUUUCAAGGGAGAUUUUCUUCAAAAAUUGUUGUACCCAUGCAUAAUGCGCACCCCAGAUUUUAGGACAAUAAAUCUGUUAAAUUUUGCGCAUUAUGCAUGGGAAAUCACGGUAGUUCAUCUCCUCCAAUGGCGUCGUCUCCUGGUUCCCAGAUGUAACGGUGCAUGAGGGAGGGACCAGCUUCCUCCCACUCCUGCUUCCAAGCUGCUGCCAGCCAAGCAUCUCUGGAGAUAUCCUUAGGGAUGGAAUUGAGCAUCUUUUGUGCUACCAUGUUGUAGGGGUGGCGCGCCUUGAGUCUGCUUGAUGGAGUUGUUGUAGUACUGUGCAGGAUGUGCUAGUUGUUUUUUGCCUUCCUGGCUAUAACGAGAGUGGCAGCCUCUCGACAAAGGUUGGCCGGCGCUAUUCCCGCAAGGACAGGCAAGAGGGACACAGGGGUGGCUUCAGGCAUCCUGUUAUAGUUCGGAGGGCGUUAAUUGCCACACCUACUUUUUUGGCAUGGGGGCUUCUGUUCCAAACUGGGGCACAGUACUCUGGUGCAGAGAAUACCAGCGCUUCAGUUGAUAUCCGCAAGGUCUUAGCAGAGGCUCCCAACAUUGUUCCAGCAAGGCGGUGGAUCAGUGCAGCCCUGGAUGUCACCUUUGCCUUCAGUUCUUAAGGUGUUGUUUGAAGGAUAGGGUCCGAUCCAGACGCACGCUAAGGUACUUCGGGGCUUGUUGAACCUCUAGGCGUUUGCCCUAAAUGCUCACUACAGGUUCUCUCCUUGUUUCUAAAGGGAAAUGUACUUUCGGCAGUUUGCAAACACAUUUGAUUAAGGCUGCGUUAGACACAUAUACGUAAUCAUAUCAAUAUCAUUUCUAGUAGUAGUGUGGUCGCUUAAUAAGUGGAAAGAAAUGUGCAGACUACAUGAAUUUGUCUUCUACAAAGUACUAAGGAACAGGAGGUCCAGACAGGGAGGACAUCUCAAGGCCGAUGGGGAACGCGAAUAACUUGUCUUUGUGGUCCAGACACCUGCGCUGAGCAGGGGAAAACCCAAACGAGGAUGAGAUGACCAUCAACCAUCGACCAAUCACCACACAAUAUUUUGCAUGCUUGAAUAUUCAUAUUGUGUUUCUUUAAAACUGGGCAACCCGGAAGAAUGUGUUGUCUUUGAUGGUCACGAAGGCACACGAGUAUUUUGGUGUUAAGGACCCGGGACCCAGGCGCCUGUAUUAGCUUGCUUUGUCAGGAUUAAACAAUUGGUAGAUUCGGCCUAAUUGAUCUCCUGGUCUUCUCUUUGACAGAACGAACUCCCAAAAUUGUUAGGUGCGACAGUGUGUGGAUUUGGACAUAACAAUUCUUGUGUUAAGUGUUGAUCGCAAUUUGGAGCCAGAUCAAUAACAAAAAUCGGUAGCCUAACACUUCCCUGGUGCUGAGAUGAUAUGACACAGCAACAGUCUUUCCAACGCUGAGCUGGAGACGCCACUUUCGAAGGUAUGCUACCAUGGUGCACACGUCUUCAU